GAUUGUUGACCCUAUGAUUGAUUUUGAUGAUCAUAAAAUAUUGAAUAAUUAUGAAUCUAAUCAUGUAUUUUAAGAAGAAAUAUAGAUUUUUUUAGAUAACCAAAUUGAAGAAAUAAUUCAUGAAAAAGAUCUCUUCAAGAUUCACUAAUUCAAGGGUUUAAAAAGAAAAAAUUAAAUUUCAGACUUAGUGGAGUCGACUCUUGGUGAAGAACAGUCGACUCUGGCAUGUUGGAAGAAGAUUGGCAUGCAGACGAGUCGACUCGAAGAAGAUCCGAGCUGACUCAAUCUCAAAAGAUAGAGAAUAAUUUUUUAAGCUCUGUGGCUGAGUUGACUUAUGAGGAACUCGAGUCGACUUGUGGACAAAAGGGGUCGACUCCAAAGAAAAUCGAGUCAAUUUGAAGCACAGGACAGACUAUAAUGGCUAGUUUUCUACACUUCUCCAAUGGCUAGAUUUUGGCUCCAACAACUAGUUCAAGCCCUCCAAUUAUCCAAACUUAUUCUCCUGCCAUUGUCAAGUCUAUUUAAAGAUGGAGAAUUAUUUGGAAAGAAAGAAAAAAAGAUUGAGAAGAGAAAACAUUCAAAUUUGUGAGG
rnacentral:lncRNA from 1 species